rnacentral:rRNA from 1 species
CCUACGGGUGGCAGCAGUGAGGAAUAUUGGUCAAUGGCCGGAAGGCUGAACCAGCCAAGCCGCGUGAAGGACGAAGGUGCCAAGCAUUGUAAACUUCUUUUGUCAAGGGACAAAAUCAGGCUCGAGAGCCUGACCGAGGGUACUUGAAGAAAAAGCAUCGGCUAACUCCGUGCCAGCAGCCGCGGUAAUACGGAGGAUGCGAGCGUUACCCGGAUUUAUUGGGUUAAAGGGGUGCGUCGGCGGACUGUUAAGUCAGCGGUAAAAGCCCGGGGCUCAACCCCGGCGAGCCGUGGAAACUGGCUGUCUGGAGAUGUCGAGAGGUAGGCGGAAGGCGCAGUGUAGCGGUGAAAUGCUUAGAUAGUGCGCAGAACUCCGAUUGCGAAGGCAGCAUACCGGCGGCGAUCUGACGCUGAGGCACGAAAGCGUGGGUAUCGAACAGGAUUAGAUACCCCAGUAGUC